rfam:Pseudomonas putida KT2440 complete genome.
UCGUGACGCCGGGCCCCUCUGACGGUUAUACCGCCAUGUCGGAGUCAUAGU